rnacentral:rRNA from 1 species
GGGGGGGGGGGGGGGGGGGGGGGGGGGGGGGGGGUGGGGGGGGGGGGCGCGGCGUGGGGGGGGGGCGCGGGGGGCGGACGGGUGAGGAGCGCGUGGGUAGCCUGCCCGGGACUGUGGGGUAACUUCAGGAAACUUGGGCUAAUACCGGAUAGGAGCACCUGCUACAUGGGGUGGUCUGGAAAGUUUCGGCGGUUGGGGCUGGCCUCGCGGCGUAGCCGCUUGUUGGUGGGGUAGUGGCUUACCAAGGCUUUGCCGGGUCGCCGGCCUGAGAGGGUGACCGGCCACAGUGGGAAUGAGAGACGGCCCAGACUCCGACGGGAGGCAGCAGUGGGGAAUAUUGCACAAUGGGCGGAAGCCUGAUGCAGCAACGCCGCGUGCGGGAUGACGGCCGUCGGGUUGUAAACCGCUUUCGCCUGUGACGAAGCGUGAGUGACGGUAAUGGGUAAAGAAGCACCGGCUAACUACGUG